AAACACCAAGUCAUAUCU
rnacentral:snRNA from 1 species